UACGUAGGGACCAAGCGUUGUUCGGAUUUACUGGGCGUAAAGCGCUCGCAGGUGGUUCGUCGCGUCGUGCGUGAAAGACCCCGGCUCAACUGGGGGGUGUCGUGCGAUACGGGCGGACUGGAGGCCAGUAGGGGGAUGCGGAAUUCCGGGUGUAGUGGUGGAAUGCGUAGAGAUCCGGAGGAACACCAGCGGCGAAGGCGGCAUCCUGGACUGGUCCUGACACUCAGGAGCGAAAGCGUGGGGAGCGAUCCGG
rnacentral:rRNA from 1 species